rnacentral:rRNA from 1 species
AUGAACCACUUCGGUGGGGAUUAGUGGCGAACGGGUGAGUAACACGUGGGCAAUCUGCCCUGCACUCUGGGACAAGCCCUGGAAACGGGGUCUAAUACCGGAUACGACCAUCUUGGGCAUCCUUGAUGGUGGAAAGCUCCGGCGGUGCAGGAUGAGCCCGCGGCCUAUCAGCUUGUUGGUGAGGUAAUGGCUCACCAAGGCGACGACGGGUAGCCGGCCUGAGAGGGCGACCGGCCACACUGGGACUGAGACACGGCCCAGACUCCUACGGGAGGCAGCAGUGGGGAAUAUUGCACAAUGGGCGAAAGCCUGAUGCAGCGACGCCGCGUGAGGGAUGACGGCCUUCGGGUUGUAAACCUCUUUCAGCAGGGAAGAAGCGAAAGUGACGGUACCUGCAGAAGAAGCGCCGGCUAACUACGUGCCAGCAGCCGCGGUAAUACGUAGGGCGCAAGCGUUGUCCGGAAUUAUUGGGCGUAAAGAGCUCGUAGGCGGCUUGUCACGUCGGUUGUGAAAGCCCGGGGCUUAACCCCGGGUCUGCAGUCGAUACGGGCAGGCUAGAGUUCGGUAGGGGAGAUCGGAAUUCCUGGUGUAGCGGUGAAAUGCGCAGAUAUCAGGAGGAACACCGGUGGCGAAGGCGGAUCUCUGGGCCGAUACUGACGCUGAGGAGCGAAAGCGUGGGGAGCGAACAGGAUUAGAUACCCUGGUAGUCCACGCCGUAAACGGUGGGCACUAGGUGUGGGCAACAUUCCACGUUGUCCGUGCCGCA